UCAGCCUAACACAUGCAAGUCGAACGGCAGCACAGGAGAGCUUGCUCUCUGGGUGGCGAGUGGCGGACGGGUGAGGAAUACAUCGGAAUCUACUCUGUCGUGGGGGAUAACGUAGGGAAACUUACGCUAAUACCGCAUACGACCUACGGGUGAAAGCAGGGGACCUUCGGGCCUUGCGCGAUUGAAUGAGCCGAUGUCGGAUUAGCUAGUUGGCGGGGUAAAGGCCCACCAAGGCGACGAUCCGUAGCUGGUCUGAGAGGAUGAUCAGCCACACUGGAACUGAGACACGGUCCAGACUCCUACGGGAGGCAGCAGUGGGGAACUAUUGGACAAUUGGGCGCAAGCCUGAUCCAGGCCAAUACCGCGUGGGUGAAAGAAAGGGCCUUCGGCGCGUUGUANAAAGGCCCCUUUUUAUGGUUAUAGGGGGAANAACAGGAAAAUUCCCCANGCCUUGGGCCUUAAAAUUACCCCCCGGGGAU
rnacentral:rRNA from 1 species